rnacentral:rRNA from 1 species
GAUUGAUUGAAAAUAUAAAAAUAUAUUUUUAUAUACAUAUUAUAUAUAUUAAUUUAUAUUUAUUAUAUAUCAUAUUUAUAUAUAUUUAUUAAACUGUACUAAACAAUAAUAUUUACUAAUAUAAAUAAUCAAAUAAUAUAGGAGAUAUAAGAAUAUAUUCUUAUUUCGUAUCUAUAUAAUGAUAAUGUAAUAAUAGAAAUUACAAAUAUAUCACUUAUACAUUCCGAAUUAUAAAUUAUUCGAUAGUUAUAAAUAGGAAAUAUCAAAAUCGAUUCUUAGUUUUCGAGAAGUGGUAACUUGAUAUAAUAUAUUAGGAAAGCAUGUGUAUAUUAAUGUAUAAUGAUAAUUGCAGUAUCUACUAUUUUAGUAAUGACUGAGUGCAGCAUUAAUUGGGUAGAGUUCAUUGAAAAAUUUGCUGCUUGUCAGCAUGGGAAUAAUCGAAGAUGCUGGUUAUCCUAUUCAGAUCUGCUG